rnacentral:rRNA from 1 species
GAUGAACGCUGGCGGCGUGCUUAACACAUGCAAGUCGAACGGUGAAGCUCCAGCUUGCUGGAGUGGAUCAGUGGCGAACGGGUGAGUAACACGUGAGCAACCUGCCCCUGACUCUGGGAUAACAGCCGGAAACGGCUGCUAAUACCGGAUAUGCACCAUGAACGCAUGUUCUGUGGUGGGAAAGAUUUUUCGGUUGGGGAUGGGCUCGCGGCCUAUCAGCUUGUUGGCGAGGUAAUGGCUCACCAAGGCGUCGACGGGUAGCCGGCCUGAGAGGGUGACCGGCCACACUGGGACUGAGACACGGCCCAGACUCCUACGGGAGGCAGCAGUGGGGAAUAUUGCACAAUGGGCGAAAGCCUGAUGCAGCAACGCCGCGUGAGGGAUGACGGCCUUCGGGUUGUAAACCUCUUUUAGCAGGGAAGAAGCGAGAGUGACGGUACCUGCAGAAAAAGCGCCGGCUAACUACGUG